AACGAACGCUGGCGGCAUGCCUAACACAUGCAAGUCGAACGAGACCUUCGGGUCUAUUGGCGCACGGGUGCGUAACGCGUGGGAACCUGCCCUUAGGUUCGGAAUAACUCCCCGAAAGGGGUGCUAAUACCGGAUAAUGUCUUCGGACCAAAGAUUUAUCGCCUUUGGAUGGGCCCGCGUUGGUUUAGCUGGUUGGUAGGGUAAAAGCCUACCAAGGCGACGAUCCAUAGCUGGUCUGAGAGGAUGAUCAGCCACACUGGGACUGAGACACGGCCCAGACUCCUACGGGAGGCAGCAGUGGGGAAUAUUGGACGAUGGGCGGAAGCCUGAUCCAGCAAUGCCGGGUAAGUGAUGAAGGCGUUAGGGUUGUAAAGCUCUUUUACCCGGGAUGAUAAUGACGGUACCGGGAGAAUAAGCUCCGGCUAACUCCGUG
rnacentral:rRNA from 1 species